rnacentral:rRNA from 1 species
AUUACCGCGGCUGCUGGCACGGAGUUAGCCGACGCUUCCUCUUCUGGUACUAUCAAGGCCGAAGCAGUUACGUUCGGCCCCUUGUUCCCAAAUGACAGGAGUUUACAACCCGAAGACCUUCCUCCUCCACGCGGCGUCGCUCCUUCAGGGUUUCCCCCAUUGAGAAAAAUUCUCGACUGGUGCCUCCCGUAGG